rnacentral:rRNA from 1 species
CCUACGGGAGGCAGCAGUGAGGAAUAUUGGUCAAUGGGAGGAAUCCUGAACCAGCCAUGCCGCGUGCAGGACGACGGCUCUACGAGUUGUAAACUGCUUUUGUAGCGGGGUAAAAUGCUCUACGCGUAGGGUUUUGACAGUGCGGUACGAGUAAGGAUCGGCUAACUCCGUGCCAGCAGCCGAGGUAAUACGGGGGAUCCGAGCGUGAUCCGGAUAUACUGGGUGUAAAGGGAGCGUAGUCGGAGAUGCAAGUUGGGUGUUAAACCUACCGGCUCAACUGGGAGUCGCACUCAAACCUGCAGCUCUUGAGUGAAGUAGAGGCAGGCGGAAUUCCUAGUGUAGCGGUGAAAUGCGUAGAUAUUAGGAGGAACACCAGUGGCGAAGGCGGCCUGCUGGGCUGUAACUGACGCUGAGGCUCGAAAGUGUGGGGAGCAAACAGGAUUAGAUACCCGAGUAGUC